AAAAAAAAAGUUUGGCCUGGGGCGCAGCCCAGUACCAAGCCCAGGCAAACUCACAUACAGGCCGCAGCGUCUCGCAUCGCAACCAGCGACAACCAGCGCUCUGCCCUCGACCUGAGUACCUGACGAACCCUAAGCCAUCGCCGGUCGCCGCCCGCCGUCGCCGGUCGCCACCCAUCGUCGAGGUCCAGCUCCGUGCACCCCGGAUCUACCUUUCCAGCACCCCCCGGAUGUCCCCCUUCCAGCGCCCGCCCCCGCCCCCCGGCUGCGCCGCUGUGGCCUGCGGCCUGCGGCUGCUGUCCUGUUCGUCGUGUCCGCCUGUCCGGCGACGCGGCGAGGGCGCAAGGCGGCGAACCCGGCUAGGGCGCGAGUGGUGCGAGGCUGCAGCUUGCAGGCAGCUCGGCGUCCAACGAGGUAGUUACUUUCUCUCAUGACUGCUUUUUCUGUUUCUUAGUACAGUUUUGAUGCUUGAUGCCCUGUUUUUGUUUAUAGAUGCCAUAUUGUCAGGAUGAUGAUGAUUUUAGUUGCUAGAUGCCACUCUUUGUGUGUUUGUUAGAUGUAGAAACCAGUUUUAACAUUGAGAAAUUUUUGUUUCUCUAAUAUUUUACAGGAAGGCAAGAUGAAUAAAAGAAACAAGACAUUGAAUUUAUUUUUUCAAGUUCGAACCACCGAAACUGUAGAAACAGGUCCUUCAACUCAAACAGUUGAUAAUACACCACCUAAUGUUAGAGCUGAACUCAAACCCGGCGAUGUUGAAUCUGACCCCGGUAAGAGAAUACCAAUUGAGGAGUUAGAUCCAGACAUUAGAGAUCUUGUUAGAAGGGAGUACAUUAGUAUGGGUCCUUGCCAACCAACUAAUCAUACAUAUGAAAAGAUAAAUGGUAGGAGCUUUCAUAACUAUUGGUUCAAUGAUCAUCGCGGCUGGUUGGAAUAUAGCAUUGAAAAAAGAUCAGCCUUUUACUUUUAUUGUUUUCUGUUUAAGCAACCAAGAGCUGAAAACUAUGGUAUUGAAGCAUUCACGAGAAAUGUAUUCAAAUCUUGGAAGGAUGGACCUAAAGUUUUUAAUCAACAUGUUGGCAAGCAUGAUAGUGCUCAUAAUAAAUCUAGGCAACAUUAUGAGGAUUUCAAAAAUCAAAGACAAAAUCUGCCACAUUUCUUUGAUAGGGGUUCUCAGAAGCAAGAAGAAGAAUACAAAGCCCGUCUCUUGAUUAUAUUGGGUAUUGUCAAAUUUUUGAUACUACAAGCUCUUGCUUUUCGUGGUCAUGAUGAGUCUACUAGCUCAAUGAAUAAGGGUAACUUUAAAGAGUUGUUGGACUUGUUCAUAAAGAAAGACCCAAAGGUGGCAACAUUUUAGAGAUUUGAUUGGGCAUUCUCCGCAACCGUGGAAAGGGCAUUCUCAGCAAUGAGCAUUAUCAAGACCGGAUUGAGGAACAAAAUGGGUGAUGAUUGGAUGAAUCAUAGAAUGGUAUGUUACAUUGAGAGAGAUGUAUUUGUUAGCAUCGAAGAAUCCAAGAUCAUUGAGCGAUUUCAAGGUUAUCGCACACGUAAAGGUGUUUUGCCUUGUCCUACACGUUUAGCGAUGUCUGCUAUUGAAGAUGUAGUCAUGGGAGGCUCGGAUCAACCAAUCAUUUGAUUUGGUAUCAAUCUUCUGUAUCAUUUAUCUAUGCCACAUAUUGUCUUUUGAUUUGUCUUGAUUUAUUAGUUGAGUCAUUAUGGAACAAAUGCUGCCAUUGAAUAUCAUGUUUGGUUUCUUAUUAGUUAUGCAAAACAUAGAUUGAUUC